GGAAGGGAUUUGUUCAGUGGUUGAGCAUUUGCUUUCCACGCCAAAUGCUCCAGGCUCAAUCCCCUGCUUCUCCA